UUUCUUCUCCUGCUGCCAUUUCUUCAUUUGUGUUUCUGAGUCCUGGUGGAACCAAUCCAGCUCAUUCUGGGACACCUGAAGGCAGAAAAGGAAACUUCAUUUCUGAGAACUGUGAAAAUUUAUUCAGUGUCCCAAGGUGCUUUUCCUGAAAUCCCUUUUCAGUGGAUUCACUCAGAAUUGGAGCCUCUUCCCCCUCCAGGCUGAUUCUGCAGGAACCAGCCAAGGAAAAAAAUCACGGUUUUCAACAAGGAACAAAAGCACACAGGGAUGAAACCACGCAGUGACAUCCCCCAGCAGUUUGGACAAUAAAAACAGAAGCUAAAUAAAAUUUGUCUGAAGUAAAA